rnacentral:snRNA from 1 species
GGAUGUGAGGGUGAUCUGACUACAACAUCUGUCACCCCAUUGAUCGCCAGGGUUGAUUCGGCUGAUCUGGCUGGCUAGGCAGGUGUCCCCUUCCUCCCUCACUGCUCCAUGUGCGUCCCUCCCAGAGCUGCAUGCUUGGUCAAAGAGGACGGCCUUGCCCGUAUAGAGACGGACUGGCCUUCGGGCGAGGGUAUGCGAAGGUAUGCGAGUAGACACUCCCCUGCUAGAACCUCCAAACAAGCUCUCAAAGGGGAAACACAAAGCAGGACUUGGACCGGAGUUGGUGUAUUGCACCAAAGUAACGAACUCU